UACGUAGGGCGCAAGCGUUGUCCGGAAUUAUUGGGCGUAAAGAGCUCGUAGGCGGCCUGUUGCGUCCGCUGUGAAAUCCCGGGGCUCAACCCCGGGCCUGCAGUGGAUACGGGCAGGCUAGAGUUCGGUAGGGGAGACUGGAAUUCCUGGUGUAGCGGUGAAAUGCGCAGAUAUCAGGAGGAACACCGGUGGCGAAGGCGGGUCUCUGGGCCGAUACUGACGCUGAGGAGCGAAAGCGUGGGGAGCGAACAGG
rnacentral:rRNA from 1 species